rnacentral:rRNA from 1 species
GAUGAACGCUGGCGGCGUGCCUAAUACAUGCAAGUCGAGCGAACGGACGAGAAGCUUGCUUCUCUGAUGUUAGCGGCGGACGGGUGAGUAACACGUGGAUAACCUACCUAUAAGACUGGGAUAACUUCGGGAAACCGUAGCUAAUACCGGAUAAUAUUUUGAACCGCAUGGUUCAAAAGUGAAAGACGGUCUUGCUGUCACUUAUAGAUGGAUCCGCGCUGCAUUAGCUAGUUGGUAAGGUAACGGCUUAUCAAGGCAACGAUGCAUAGCCGACCUGAGAGGGUGAUCGGCCACACUGGAACUGAGACACGGUCCAGACUCCUACGGGAGGCAGCAGUAGGGAAUCUUCCGCAAUGGGCGAAAGCCUGACGGAGCAACGCCGCGUGAGUGAUGAAGGUCUUCGGAUCGUAAAACUCUGUUAUUAGGGAAGAACAUAUGUGUAAGUAACUGUGCACAUCUUGACGGUACCUAAUCAGAAAGCCACGGCUAACUACGUG